AUGAAACAUAAAAAGGCACCUGGACCAAAUAGAUUCCCUGCAGAAUUCUACAAUAAAUGUUGGCACAUCAUAAUUGGUGACCUCAUUCCGAUGUUCCAUGAAUUCUUUAAUGGACACCUACAGUUUUUCCACCUUAACUUUGGAACAAAAACGUUGAUACCAAAGGAGGAGGAGGCAGUGCGUAUUGAGCAGUUUAGGCCUAUAUGUCUUUUAAAUGUGAGUUUCGAAAUUUUUACGAAAGUAGGCACGAAUAGAUUGACACGGAUUGCCCAUUUGGUGGUACAACUGAGUCAGAUGGCAUUCAUGUCAGGGAGACAUAUCCUUGAAGGGGUUAUUAUACACGAAACUCUACAUGAAAUCCAUUCGAAGAAACUAGAUGGGGUGAUCUUCAAGGUGGAUUUUGAGAAAACGUACGAUAAGGUCAAAGGGUCCUUUCUCCAACAGGCAAUGCGCAUGAAGGGGUUCAAAUGA
rnacentral:rRNA from 1 species